rnacentral:rRNA from 1 species
AACGAACGCUGGCGGCAUGCCUAACACAUGCAAGUCGAACGAGACCUUCGGGUCUAGUGGCGCACGGGUGCGUAACGCGUGGGAAUCUGCCCUUUGCUUCGGAAUAACAGUUAGAAAUGACUGCUAAUACCGGAUGAUGUCUUCGGACCAAAGAUUUAUCGGCAAAGGAUGAGCCCGCGUAGGAUUAGGUAGUUGGUGGGGUAAAGGCCUACCAAGCCGACGAUCCUUAGCUGGUCUGAGAGGAUGAUCAGCCACACUGGGACUGAGACACGGCCCAGACUCCUACGGGAGGCAGCAGUGGGGAAUAUUGGACAAUGGGCGCAAGCCUGAUCCAGCAAUGCCGCGUGAGUGAUGAAGGCCUUCGGGUCGUAAGCUCUUUACCAGGAUGAUAAUGACAGUACCUGGAGAAUAAGACGUCCGGCCUAACUACCGUGCCAGCAGCCGCGGUAA